rnacentral:rRNA from 1 species
AGUGAACGCUGGCGGUAGGCCUAACACAUGCCAGUCGAACGGCAGCACAGUAAGAGCUUGCUCUUACGGGUGGCGAGUGGCGGACGGGUGAGGAAUACAUCGGAAUCUACUUUUUCGUGGGGGAUAACGUAGGGAAACUUACGCUAAUACCGCAUACGACCUACGGGUGAAAGCAGGGGAUCUUCGGACCUUGCGCGAUUGAAUGAGCCGAUGUCGGAUUAGCUAGUUGGCGGGGUAAAGGCCCACCAAGGCGACGAUCCGUAGCUGGUCUGAGAGGAUGAUCAGCCACACUGGAACUGAGACACGGUCCAGACUCCUACGGGAGGCAGCAGUGGGGAAUAUUGGACAAUGGGCGCAGGCCUGAUCCAGCCAUACCUCGUGGGUGAAGAAGGCCUUCGGGUUGUAAAGCCCUUUUGUUGGGAAAGAAAAGCAGCAGGUUAAUACCCCGCUGUUCUGACGGUACCCAAAGAAUAAGCACCGGCUAACUUCGUG